AUGAACGCUGGCGGCGUGCCUAAUACAUGCAAGUCGAGCGAACGGACGAGAAGCUUGCUUCUCUGAUGUUAGCGGCGGACGGGUGAGUAACACGUGGAUAACCUACCUAUAAGACUGGGAUAACUUCGGGAAACCGGAGCUAAUACCGGAUAAUAUUUUGAACCGCAUGGUUCAAAAGUGAAAGACGGUCUUGCUGUCACUUAUAGAUGGAUCCGCGCUGCAUUAGCUAGUUGGUAAGGUAACGGCUUACCAAGGCAACGAUGCAUAGCCGACCUGAGAGGGGGAGCGCCCACACGCAGACAGAGACACGGGCCAGACCCCCGCGGGGGGCAGAAGGGGGGGAUCUUCCGCGAGGGGCGAAAACCUGACAGAGAGACGCCGCGGGAGAGAGGAAGGUCUUCGGGUCUUAAAACUCUUUUUUUUGGGAAAAACAUAUAUGUAAAAAACUCUGCGCACUUUUGGGGGGCCAAAAAAAAGAACCCCCCCAAAAACCG
rnacentral:rRNA from 1 species